UACGUAGGGGGCUAGCGUUAUCCGGAAUUACUGGGCGUAAAGGGUGCGUAGGUGGUUUCUUAAGUCAGAGGUGAAAGGCUACGGCUCAACCGUAGUAAGCCUUUGAAACUGGUCGACUUGAGUGCAGAAGAGGGAAGUGGAAUUCCAUGUGUAGCGGUGAAAUGCGUAGAGAUAUGGAGGAACACCAGUGGCGAAGGCGGCUUCCUGGUCUGUAACUGACACUGAGGCGCGAAAGCGUGGGGAGCAAACAGGAUUAGAUACCCCCGUAGUCCCUGAGCGGG
rnacentral:rRNA from 1 species